rnacentral:misc_RNA from 1 species
AACGCAUAUUGCGCCUGCUGGUAUUCUAGCAGGCAUGCCUGUCCGAGCGUCAUCUUACCGCUCAGGCGGCCCUUGUUUUGCCGCCUGGUGUUGGGGUCCUUACGCGCCGCCGUAGGCCCUGAAAUUCGUCGGCGAGCCCGCCGGAGCUCCCCAGCGCAGUGGCUAAUCACCGCUGAGGGCGCCCGGAAGGGUCUUCUGCCCACAAGAGCCGCGGUGCUGCCCCCCGCGGCGGCGCGCGCGCGCGAUAUCAGCAACUGUUUGACCUCGGAUCAGGUAGGACUACCCGCUGAACUUAA